rnacentral:rRNA from 1 species
AGGGUUUGAUUAUGGCUCAGGAUGAACGCUGGCGGCGUGCUUAACACAUGCAAGUCGAACGAACCUUCGGGUUAGUGGCGGACGGGUGAGUAACGCGUGGGAAUCUGCCCUCAGGAGGGGGAUAACGGCUGGAAACGGCCGCUAAUACCCCAUAUGCCGAGAGGUGAAAUGAAUUUCGCCUGAGGAUGAGCCCGCGUCUGAUUAGCUAGUUGGUGAGGUAAGGGCUCACCAAGGCAUCGAUCAGUAGCUGGUCUGAGAGGAUGAUCAGCCACACUGGGACUGAGACACGGCCCAGACUCCUACGGGAGGCAGCAGUGGGGAAUUUUCCGCAAUGGGCGAAAGCCUGACGGAGCAACGCCGCGUGAGGGAUGAAGGCCUCUGGGCUGUAAACCUCUUUUCUCAAGGAAGAAGAUCUGACGGUACUUGAGGAAUAAGCCACGGCUAAUUCCGUGCCAGCAGCCGCGGUAAUACGGGAGUGGCAAGCGUUAUCCGGAAUUAUUGGGCGUAAAGCGUCCGCAGGCGGCCCUUCAAGUCUGCUGUUAAAACGUGGAGCUUAACUCCAUCAUGGCAGUGGAAAUUGUUGGGCUUGAGUGUGGUAGGGGCAGAGGGAAUUCCCGGUGUAGCGGUGAAAUGCGUAGAUAUCGGGAAGAACACCAGUGGCGAAGGCGCUCUGCUGGGCCAUAACUGACGCUCAUGGGCGAAAGCCAGGGGAGCGAAAGGGAUUAGAUACCCCUGUAGUCCUGGCCGUAAACGAUGAACACUAGGUGUCGGGGGAAUCGACCCCCUCGGUGUCGUAGCCAACGCGUUAAGUGUUCCGCCUGGGGAGUACGCACGCAAGUGUGAAACUCAAAGGAAUUGACGGGGGCCCGCACAAGCGGUGGAGUAUGUGGUUUAAUUCGAUGCAACGCGAAGAUCCUUACCAGGGUUUGACAUCUGCGAAUCUCUUGGAAACGAGAGAGUGCCUUCGGGAGCGCAGUGACAGGUGGUGCAUGGCUGUCGUCAGCUCGUGUCGUGAGAUGUUGGGUUAAGUCCCGCAACGAGCGCAACCCACGUCUUUAGUUGCCAGCAUUUAGUUGGGCACUCUAGAGAGACCGCCGGUGAUAAACCGGAGGAAGGUGUGGAUGACGUCAAGUCAUCAUGCCCCUUACAUCCUGGGCUACACACGUACUACAAUGCUACGGACAAAGAGCAGCAAGUUCGCGAGGACAAGCAAAUCUCAUAAACCGUGGCUCAGUUCAGAUCGUAGGCUGCAACUCGCCUACGUGAAGGAGGAAUCGCUAGUAAUCGCAGGUCAGCAUACUGCGGUGAAUACGUUCCCGGGCCUUGUACACACCGCCCGUCACACCAUGGAAGUUGGCCACGCCCGAAGCCGUUACUCCAACCCUUGUGGAGGAGGACGUCGAAGGUGGGGCUGAUGACUGGGGUGAAGUCGUAACAAGGUAGCCA